AUACGUAGGUGGCAAGCGUUGUCCGGAUUUACUGGGUGUAAAGGGCGUGUAGGCGGAGAUGCAAGUCAGGAGUGAAAUCUAGGGGCUCAACCCCUAAACUGCUUUUGAAACUGUAUCCCUUGAGUAUCGGAGAGGCAGGCGGAAUUCCUAGUGGAGCGGUGAAAUGCGUAGAUAUUAGGAGGAACACCAGUGGCGAAGGCGGGUAACUGGACUGCAACUGACGCUGAGGCGCGAAAGUGUGGGGAGCAAACAGGAUUAGAUACCCUGGUAGUCCACACUGUAAACGAUGAGUGCUAGGUGUAGGAGGUAUCGACCCCUUCUGUGCCGGAGUAAACGCAAUAAGCACUCCGCCUGGGGAGUACGGUCGCAAGAUUAAAACUCAAAUGAAUUGACGGGG
rnacentral:rRNA from 1 species